rnacentral:rRNA from 1 species
ACCCUGAUCCAGCCAUGCCGCGUGUGUGAAGAAGGCCCUCGGGUUGUAAAGCACUUUCAGCGAGGAAGAACGCCUAGCGGUUAAUACCCGCUAGGAAAGACAUCACUCGCAGAAGAAGCACCGGCUAACUCCGUGCCAGCAGCCGCGGUAAUACGGAGGGUGCAAGCGUUAAUCGGAAUUACUGGGCGUAAAGCGCGCGUAGGUGGCUUGAUAAGCCGGUUGUGAAAGCCCCGGGCUCAACCUGGGAACGGCAUCCGGAACUGUCAAGCUAGAGUGCAGGAGAGGAAGGUAGAAUUCCCGGUGUAGCGGUGAAAUGCGUAGAGAUCGGGAGGAAUACCAGUGGCGAAGGCGGCCUUCUGGACUGACACUGACACUGAGGUGCGAAAGCGUGGGUAGCAAACAGGAUUAGAUACCCUGGUAGUCCACGCCGUAAACGAUGUCGACCAGCCGUUGGGUGCCUAGCGCACUUUGUGGCGAAGUUAACGCGAUAAGUCGACCGCCUGGGGAGUACGGCCGCAAGGUUAAAACUCAAAUGAAUUGACGGGGGCCCGCACAAGCGGUGGAGCAUGUGGUUUAAUUCGAUGCAACGCGAAGAACCUUACCUACUCUUGACAUCCUGCGAAUUUGGUAGAGAUACCUUAGUGCCUUCGGGAACGCAGAGACAGGUGCUGCAUGGCUGUCGUCAGCUCGUGUUGUGAAAUGUUGGGUUAAGUC